GGAUUCCCGGGCUUGCACCCCAGAAAACCAGGAGAAUAAGGAAAAUGAGCAGACAGAGGAGGGGAAGCCAAGCGCCAUUGAAGAUGAAGAAGACAUUUUACAAGAGACUGCUGCUCUACUUCAUAGCCUUGGCGAUUGGAACCCUCUACUCCAAUGCCCUCUUCCAGCUCAUCCCAGAGGCUUUUGGUUUCAACCCUCAGGACAAUUAUGUCUCCAAGUCUGCUGUGGUCUUUGGGGGUUUCUACCUUUUCUUUUUCACAGAAAAGAUCCUGAAGAUGCUCCUGAAGCAGAAAAACGAGCACCAUCACGGACAUAACCAUUUUACCUCCGAAACGC
rnacentral:lncRNA from 1 species